rnacentral:ncRNA from 2 species
UAAGCAAUUCAGGGGUGCCGGGGCGGCUGAGAAGAUACCCUUUAAACCUGAUCUGGGUAAUGCCAGCGUAGGGAGAUAAAGUUUGAUAUCU